rnacentral:rRNA from 1 species
AGCGGCGGACGGGGGGGNGGCACUUAGGAAUCUACCUAGUAGUGGGGGAUAGCANGGGGAAACUCGUAUUAAUACCGCAUACGACCUACGGGAGAAAGGGGGCAACUUAUUGCUCUCGCUAUUAGAUGAGCCUAAGUCGGAUUAGCUAGUUGGUGGGGUAAAGGCCUACCAAGGCGACGAUCUGUAGCUGGUCUGAGAGGAUGAUCAGCCACACCGGGACUGAGACACGGCCCGGACUCCUACGGGAGGCAGCAGUGGGGAAUAUUGGACAAUGGGGGCAACCCUGAUCCAGCCAUGCCGCGUGUGUGAAGAAGGCCUUUUGGUUGUAAAGCACUUUAAGCAGUGAAGAAGACCUAACGGUUAAUACCCGUUAGCGAUGACAUUAGCUGCAGAAUAAGCACCGGCUAACUCUGUGCCAGCAGCCGCGGUAAUACAGAGGGUGCAAGCGUUAAUCGGAAUUACUGGGCGUAAAGCGAGCGUAGGUGGCUUGAUAAGUCAGAUGUGAAAUCCCCGGGCUUAACCUGGGAACUGCAUCUGAUACUGUUAGGCUAGAAUAGGUGAGAGGAAGGUAGAAUUCCAGGUGUAGCGGUGAAAUGCGUAAAGAUCUGGAGGAAUACCGAUGGCGAAGGCAGCCUUCUGGCAUCAUAUUGACACUGAGGUUCGAAAGCGUGGGUAGCAAACAGGAUUAGAUACCCUGGUAGUCCACGCCGA